rnacentral:tRNA from 1 species
AGCAGAAUCAGCUAAUUAAGUUUUUGGGCCCAUACCCCAACCAUAUAGGUUAAAAUCCUAUUUCUGUUA